UACUAAAAACUUUAUUCAUUUCUACUAUAAAAAAUGGCAUGAUUAAAAGAAUAACCAAACAAGUUACACGUGUACCUCAUAUUGUAUAUAGAACCAACUUUUAAGAGUAGAAAUGGAUGAAAUUUUUAACA
rfam:Gossypium raimondii Chr12_contig_783, whole genome shotgun sequence.